UGGAGAUUGAGCUAUGUCUGGCCCAAACUGCUUCUGACGUGAAGACGCCGCAAAAAGUGAAACCAACUGAGACAACGCGAUCGGAGACAAAAUUGGCACUCAAAAAAAUAUCAAUGAUAAACAAAAUGCAAUUCAAACUUUUCAACUAAACAAGCACUGGUGCUUGGGACUUUAAGCCCUGAUUUAAUGACUUGCAAGUCCAGCUGAGCCGUCGCCCAUCCGUUUCUUGAAGCCGCAAAUCCUGUUCACAAAUUAGAAGCCACAGCAACCAGCCAAACAAACCGCAGUAGCCCCAUCCUCGAAGCCCUCUAACUGGUCUUUUGGAAUAAAACCGCAGCCAAAACACAAAAACCAAAACGCCCACCCAAAAAAAGAGACAGAACAAAGCCAAACAAGUGACGUCUUUUGUCCGAUGGCCAGUGUCCAAACUCUUGGAUCGUUGCACUGUUGCGUUUUCGAAUUUCAACUUGGUCUGCGUGUAAAUUUACUUGCUCAGAUUCAAUUCAAAAGCGAUUAUCACCACUUAGCUGUCAGCGACACGAUGCCAAACUUCGGGCCAAAAAAACAAAA